GAAGUUGUGUUUCAGUAUCUAGAACGUCGGUGCUACUCUGUCAUAAGGUACAAGAUUCUGGAACAACUCUUUUCCCUUCCCAGAUGAGAAAUUUUGGACAAUUUUGGUUAUGUCAUAUGUGUUGUUUGCUCUGAUGAUUUGUUCUUUGGUGACAACUUAUCUUUGUUUGGAGAGAUUUUCUCUAGUCUUCUUUUGCUUGUUUAUA
rnacentral:lncRNA from 1 species